AUACUGUGAUCAGUAAUGAAGCACUGAAACAUACCUGGACUAAGUACAGUCUUGGGUACCAUUUUCAUAGCAGCCUCCUGUGUUGUUCUGCCCAGGGUAUUUUUUCCACUUUUUAGCACCAUUCAAUAAUUUUUUGGUGAUUUUUUUUUUCCAAGUUCUGUUUCUUUUUCUUUUAUCUCUAAUUAUUUAUAUGUAUUAGUUUUCCUUUUUUUUUUUAAUAAUCAUAGAUCUGUCUCACUGUUUAUUUAAUUACAUUUCUUGUUGUAAUAAUGAUUAAAAUCCUAUUAAAGUAUUUUACAAAAGAGCUCAUGAAGCUCCUGUCAUCAGAGACUGCUUUGUCCUUUUCCAAAGGACAGAGCUAAGCCAGCAUUGGACCUGCAGGCCAUAGUUUAAGAUUAAAUGUAGUUCUACAGCCCUUCAGUGCUUGAGUGUUGGAGGUAGAGGAAAGCAAAUGGAAGGAGGUUUUGUGAUUCAUGAUGGGCACUGAGAAAAAGGAAGACUUUUGUCUAUUGAAAACAUAGAUGAAGGCAUACUUGAGCAGUGAACUUAAGCGUUCAGGCCUCCAAGGUGCUAGCAAUGUCCUGUGUCAGGGAAUGUAACACACCCAAAGGUUGUGUGUUUUUAGAUGACACUCAGAUCUUUUCUGUAGACUGAACUAUAUCUGCUUGUUUAUUUCAUUGGUUCCUUUCUAUUUUUAUUUUUUACAGGAAACACUGAACUUCUCAGACAGUGUUGAGUUAUUCCCUUAGUGAUCAGAAAGAGGGAAAGCAUCAUCAUCACAGGAACAGAUUUGUCCAGCAGGAAUGCUCUGCACCAGCAGACACAGAAGGCCCAACAGUUUGGAGAAGCAAGCCCUGCAUUUUGGGAAGUUGGCAGACCUACUGUGGUUGUCUAGAGUGCUGGCAUGUUUCAGGGGGAGUUUGAAUGGGAGAAAAUGUAAAACAUCAAGUGGAGAGAGAAGAGUGCAUUUGGUUUAACCCAACUGUUCUUGCCCCAUGGUCUGAUACUGUAACUGGAAAUAAAUUUGACUUGUUUACCA
rnacentral:lncRNA from 1 species